rnacentral:tRNA from 1 species
GCCGAUGUAGCUCAGUUGGUAGAGCACGUCCUUGGUAAGGACGGGGUCAGCGGUUCAAUUCCGCUCAUCGGCUCCG